rnacentral:rRNA from 1 species
GCAGGCACGCAAAUUACCCACUCCCGGCACGGGGAGGUAGUGACAAAAAAUAACGAUACGGGACUCUAUUGAGGCCCCGUAAUCGGAAUGAGUACACUUUAAAUCCUUUAACAAGGAUCCAUUGGAGGGCAAGUCUGGUGCCAGCAGCCGCGGUAAUUCCAGCUCCAAUAGCGUAUAUUAAAGUUGUUGCGGUUAAAAAGCUCGUAGUUGGUUCUGCGUGCCGCGCUGUCGGUUCGCCGCCUGUCGGUGCAACUGGCAUGUCGCGGCAUGUCCUGUCGGUGGUGAACGAGAUUCCCGGCAAUUAAUUUGCUUCAUGUGAAUUUUUUGCCGUGCGUAAUGUCGUUUGCCGAUCUCUCCUACUCCGGUGCUCUUAAACGAGUGUCGAGGUAGGCCGACACAGUCACUUUGAACAAAUUAGAGUGCUUAAAGCAGGCUGAAAUAUCUGCCUGAAUAGUAGUGCAUGGAAUGAUAAAAUAGGACCUCGGUUCUAUUUUGUUGGUUUUAGGAAGAUGAGGUAAUGAUCAAUGUGGACUGGCGGGGGCAUUCGUAUUGCGACGUUAGAGGUGAAAUUCUUGGAUCGUCGCAAGACGCACUAAAGCGAAAGCAUUUGCCAAGUAUGUCUUAAUUGAUCAAGAACGAAAGUUAGAGGUUCGAAGGCGAUCAGAUACCGCCCUAGUUCUAACCAUAAACGAUGCCAGCCAGCGAUCCGCCGAUGUUCCUUUAAUGACUCGGCGGGGAGCUUCUACUCGGGAAACCAAAGCUUUUGGGUUCCGGGGGAAGUAUGGUUGCAAAGCUGAAACUUAAAGGAAUUGACGGAAGGGCACCACCAGGAGUGGAGCCUGCGGCUUAAUUUGACUCAACACGGGAAACCUCACCAGGCCAGGACAUUGGAAGGAUUGACAGAUUGAUAGCUCUUUCUUGAUUCAG